rnacentral:rRNA from 1 species
UGAAAUCUCGAAGCUCAACUUCGAAACUGCGUCUGAAACUGCUAGUCUAGAGUGUCGGAGGGGGAAGGGGAAUUUCGCAUGUAGGGGUAAAAUCCGUAGAUAUGCGAAGGAACACCAGAGGCGAAGGCGCCUUCCUGGACAAGUAUUGACGCUGAGGCGCGAAAGCGUGGGGAUCAAACAGGAUUAGAUACCCUGGUAGUCCACGCUGUAAACGAUGAAUACUAGUUAUUGGGGGUAUUGACUCCCUCAGUGACGCAGCUAACGCAUUAAG